GACGAACGCUGGCGGCGUGCCUAAUACAUGCAAGUAGGACGCAGUUGCGAACGGGUGAGUAACGCGUAGGUAACUACCUAUUAGAGGGGGAUAAAUAUUGGAAACGAUAGCUAAUACCGCAUACUAGUAGAUGGAACUGCGUUGGAUUAGCUAGUAGGUAGGGUAAUGGCCUACCCAGGCAACGAUACAUAGCCGCCCUGGAGGGGGGAUCGGCCAACCUGGGCCUGAGACACGGCCCAAACGCCUACGGGAGGCAGCAGUAGGGAAUCUUCGGCAAUGGGGGGAACCCUUACCGGGCAACGCCGCGUUAGUGAAGAAGGUUUUCGGAUCGUAAAGCUCUGUUGUUAAGGAAGCGGUACUUAACCAGAAAGGGACGGCUAACUACGUGCCAGCAGCCGCGGUAAUAC
rnacentral:rRNA from 1 species